rnacentral:rRNA from 1 species
UACGUAGGGGGCGAGCGUUGUCCGGAAUCAUUGGGCGUAAAGAGCGUGUAGGCGGCCCGGUAAGUCCGCUGUGAAAGUCCAGGGCUCAACCCUGGGAUGCCGGUGGAUACUGUCGGGCUCGAGUCCGGAAGAGGAGUGUGGAAUUCCUGGUGUAGCGGUGAAAUGCGCAGAUAUCAGGAGGAACACCAAUGGCGAAGGCAGCACUCUGGGACGUGACUGACGCUGAGACGCGAAAGCGUGGGGAGCGAACAGG